AACCCUAAAAGUCUAAAAGCAGCCGUGCUCUCUGCCUCUCCAAGCCAUUCUCUCUGUAUCCCUGAUGACCAUAGCCAUCUCUCCCACCCAUAACUGAGUCGUUACCCAUCAUAGCCAUCACAAAAUCUCCAAUGUCGCAGGCCAAGUUAAGCAGAAACCCAUUGAAGGUUAAGAAGAAAGAACAGAGUAGCCUUGCACCAUCGGUCUGCCAGUAAAAUCACUAUGAAACCCAACGAAGGUUAAGGAGAAAGAACAGAGUAGCCUUGCACUACUGGUCUGCUAGCAAAAUCACUACGGGUUCUAAACUGAUCAUUAACAUAAAUGUGCUAACGGUUUUGCUUUUGUUGGAGGAUUAUUAGCAAGUCCACAAAAUCAGGUAAAGGUAAAGGCAAAGGAAUAGAAGUGAGCACACCAAAUGAACAUACAUGGAUUUGGGUGUACAUGGCAUAUGAUUUAAGAAAUUGUAUAUUAAUUGCAUACAUAAUGCUACCUUCAGCAAAAUUAAUCAAAUAAUGUAGUAUGAAGUCCCAUAAAAUUGUGCCACUUCUUUUCUUAGGUUAUUAUAAGCAAGAUUCCAACCA